rnacentral:rRNA from 1 species
UGAGGAAUAUUGGUCAAUGGGCGCGAGCCUGAACCAGCCAAGUAGCGUGAAGGAUGAAGGUCCUACGGAUUGUAAACUUCUUUUAUACGGGAAUAAAGUGGUCCACGUGUGGGCUUUUGCAUGUACCGUAUGAAUAAGCAUCGGCUAACUCCGUGCCAGCAGCCGCGGUAAUACGGAGGAUGCGAGCGUUAUCCGGAUUUAUUGGGUUUAAAGGGAGCGCAGACGGGGGAUUAAGUCAGUUGUGAAAGUUUGCGGCUCAACCGUAAAAUUGCAGUUGAUACUGGUUCCCUUGAGUGCAGUUGAGGCAGGCGGAAUUCGUGGUGUAGCGGUGAAAUGCAUAGAUAUCACGAAGAACCCCGAUUGCGAAGGCAGCCUGCUAAGCUGUAACUGACGUUGAGGCUCGAAAGUGUGGGUAUCAAACAGGAUUAGAUACCCUGGUAGUCCACACGGUAAACGAUGGAUACUCGCUGUUGGCGAUAUACUGUCAGCGGCCAAGCGAAAGCAUUAAGUAUCCCACCUGGGGAGUACGCCGGCAACGGUGAAACUCAAAGGAAUUGACGGGGGCCCGCACAAGCGGAGGAACAUGUGGUUUAAUUCGAUGAUACGCGAGGAACCUUACCCGGGCUUAAAUUGCAGACGAAUUACCUGGAAACAGGUAAGCCGCAAGGCGUCUGUGAAGGUGCUGCAUGGUUGUCGUCAGCUCGUGCCGUGAGGUGUCGGCUUAAGUGCCAUAACGAGCGCAACCCUUGUUGUCAGUUACUAACAGGUCAUGCUGAGGACUCUGACAAGACUGCCAUCGUAAGAUGUGAGGAAGGUGGGGAUGACGUCAAAUCAGCACGGCCCUUACGUCCGGGGCUACACACGUGUUACAAUGGGGGGUACAGAGGGCCGCUACCACGCGAGUGGAUGCCAAUCCCCAAAACCUCUCUCAGUUCGGACUGGAGUCUGCAACCCGACUCCACGAAGCUGGAUUCGCUAGUAAUCGCGCAUCAGCCACGGCGCGGUGAAUACGUUCCC